rnacentral:rRNA from 1 species
GUGGGGAAUUUUGGACAAUGGGGGCAACCCUGAUCCAGCCAUGCCGCGUGCGGGAAGAAGGCCUUCGGGUUGUAAACUGCUUUUGUACGGAACGAAACGGUCCUGGUUAAUACCCGGGGCUAAUGACGGUACCGUAAGAAUAAGCACCGGCUAACUACGUGCCAGCAGCCGCGGUAAUACGUAGGGUGCGAGCGUUAAUCGGAAUUACUGGGCGUAAAGCGUGCGCAGGCGGUGCUGUAAGACAGGCGUGAAAUCCCCGGGCUCAACCUGGGAAUUGCGCUUGUGACUGCAGUGCUGGAGUACGGCAGAGGGGGAUGGAAUUCCGCGUGUAGCAGUGAAAUGCGUAGAUAUGCGGAGGAACACCGAUGGCGAAGGCAGUCCCCUGGGCCUGUACUGACGCUCAUGCACGAAAGCGUGGGGAGCAAACAGGAUUAGAUACCCUUGUAGUCC